UACGUAGGGUGCGAGCGUUGUCCGGAAUUAUUGGGCGUAAAGGGCGCGUAGGCGGCCUGGCAAGUGGAAGGUGAAAUCCCUCGGCUUAACCGAGGAACUGCCCUCCAAACUGCUUGGCUUGAGACCGGGAGAGGUGAGUGGAAUUCCCAGUGUAGCGGUGAAAUGCGUAGAUAUUGGGAGGAACACCAGUGGCGAAGGCGGCUCACUGGACCGGUACUGACGCUGAGGCGCGAAAGCGUGGGGAGCAAACGGGG
rnacentral:rRNA from 1 species